rnacentral:rRNA from 1 species
AUGGCUGUCGUCAGCUCGUGUUGUGAAAUGUUGGGUUAAGUCCCGCAACGAGCGCAACCCUUAUCCUUGUUUGCCAGCGAGUAAUGUCGGGAACUCCAGGGAGACUGCCGGUGAUAAACCGGAGGAAGGUGGGGACGACGUCAAGUCAUCAUGGCCCUUACGAGUAGGGCUACACACGUGCUACAAUGGCGCAUACAGAGGGCAGCCAACUCGCGAGAGUGAGCGAAUCCCAAAAAGUGCGUCGUAGUCCGGAUCGCA